UCGCACGGGGUAGCAAUACCCAGUGGCGAACGGGUGAGUAAUGAAUCGCUAAUGUACCCCGGACUCUGGGAUAGCCAGCCGAAAGGCUGGGUAAUACCAGAUGAUAUGCAGCUAUCGCAUGAUAGUUGCCUCAAAGGUCCGCCGGUCUGGGAGCAGGCGAUUUCGUAUCAGCUAGUUGGUGAGGUAACGGCUCACCAAGGCGACGACGCGUAGCCGGACUGAGAGGUUGGCCGGCCACAUUGGGACUGAGACACUGCCCAGACUCCUACGGGGGGCUGCAGUAACGAAUCUUCCGCAAUGCACGAAAGUGUGACGGAGCGACGCCGCGUGGAGGAGAAGCCCUUCGGGGUGUAAACUCCUGUCAGGGGUUAGAAAGUUCUGAUCAACCCCAGAGGAAGGCACGGCUAACUCUGUGCCAGCAGCCGCGGUAAGACAGAGGUGCCAAGCGUUA
rnacentral:rRNA from 1 species